rnacentral:rRNA from 1 species
AUUGAACGCUGGCGGCAGGCCUAACACAUGCAAGUCGAGCGGAUGAAGGGAGCUGGCUCCUGGAUUCAGCGGCGGACGGGUGAGUAAUGCCUAGGAAUCUGCCUGGUAGUGGGGGAUAACGUCCGGAAACGGGCGCUAAUACCGCAUACGUCCUGAGGGAGAAAGUGGGGGAUCUUCGGCCCUCACGCUAUCAGAUGAGCCUAGGUCGGAUUAGCUAGUUGGUGGGGUAAAGGCCUACCAAGGCGACGAUCCGUAACUGGUCUGAGAGGAUGAUCAGUCACACUGGAACUGAGACACGGUCCAGACUCCUACGGGAGGCAGCAGUGGGGAAUAUUGGACAAUGGGCGAAAGCCUGAUCCAGCCAUGCCGCGUGUGUGAAGAAGGUCUUCGGAUUGUAAAGCACUUUAAGUUGGGAGGAAGGGCAGUAAGUUAAUACCUUGCUGUUUUGACGUUACCAACAGAAUAAGCACCGGCUAACUUCGUG